rnacentral:rRNA from 1 species
CCGAGUGCGGGCCCCUCGGGGCCCAACCUCCCACCCGUGUUGCCCGAACCUAUGUUGCCUCGGCGGGCCCCGCGCCCGCCGACGGCCCCCCUGAACGCUGUCUGAAGUUGCAGUCUGAGACCUAUAACGAAAUUAGUUAAAACUUUCAACAACGGAUCUCUUGGUUCCGGCAUCGAUGAAGAACGCAGCGAAAUGCGAUAACUAAUGUGAAUUGCAGAAUUCAGUGAAUCAUCGAGUCUUUGAACGCACAUUGCGCCCUCUGGUAUUCCGGAGGGCAUGCCUGUCCGAGCGUCAUUGCUGCCCUCAAGCCCGGCUUGUGUGUUGGGCCCCGUCCCCCCCGCCGGGGGGACGGGCCCGAAAGGCAGCGGCGGCACCGCGUCCGGUCCUCGAGCGUAUGGGGCUUCGUCACCCGCUCUAGUAGGCCCGGCCGGCGCCAGCCGACCCCCAACCUUUAAUUAUCUCAGGUUGACCUCGGAUCAGGUAGGGAUACCCG